UUCCCUCUCUUCCCCCCACCCUCCCCUUUUUCCAGGAUACAAUUCCCUCUCCCCAACUCACAAAAUCUUUCAGGCCCAAAUUUCCUCUCUUCAUCACCUUCUUUAACGAGAGAAAGUCGGCGCAAUGAGAACAACAAAGACCAACAUGAGGAAUUUGGUAGAUGAUCUAGACUAUCGGCUCUCGCAUUUGUUGACAAACUAAUGUAAAAUGAGAAGAAUGAGAAAAUUACUCCAAUCGAUCAAAGGAUAAUCUAAAGCAAUGGAUUGAUCAUCCAAGAUUUGAGCUAAUUCGUGAAGAUUCAGGUAUUUCUGAACUCGGUAGCGGGUAUUGGUUGCU